GGAACUUUGUAGAUCUAGGCAUGUGGCCUGCUAGGAGCGCCUUUGGCUUUUCUUAGGGAUGGCUCUUGCUCACCAGAGCCUCACAAAGAUAAUCGCUCAGGAAGUGUUUCAGCCAAUCCCGGGCCGCCUUACACUCCGAUUUGCCGGGGCAGCCAAUCGGGGAUGAGCUUUUAUUAGGCGGCCAGAUCAUCAAGCCGAAGUGCCAAACCCUUUUUCUGUGAGAACUAGGAGCCUGUCCUCCAUGUUUUAUAAGUAUUGACAUUACACAGUGUUAACAAUGCAUCCACAGAGUUUCCCCCCCCUGCACUAUUGUCUUCUCUUGUGUCACAUGCCUGCUGGGGGAAGAAAUGGAAGGUAAGACGCAGGCUCCUCUCCAAGGAGAGCUCAUGGCAGACAGCAAAGCAGG